rnacentral:lncRNA from 1 species
CAGCGGUCGGCGCCGCCGCUGACAAGAUAAAAGAAAAAAAGAAAAGGAUAGAAGAAAAAAAGAAGAUGACAAAAGAAAGAAAAGGAGAGACAAGAAGAAAAAGAGCGUAAAAAAGAGAGAAGAAAAGAACAAAAAAAAGUAAGGAGGAAGGAGCGACAGCGACGGCAGCGUCGCCGCCCGAAAAAAAUGAGAAGGAUAUGCAGGAUGAAGAAGAGAGAAAAGUAAAAAUGAGAGAAGGAAAGAAGAGAAAAGAAGGAAGGAAGAGGGAGAGGGGACGACCACGACGCCGUCAACGAAGAAAGAAAGAAGGGGAGGUAGAGAGAAAGGAAAAGAAAAGAAGGAGAAAAAGAGGAGAAAAAGGAGAAGAAGGAGAGAAUUGUUAUAAAACUAAACUCAAAGAAAGACAAGAACAAGAG